rnacentral:rRNA from 1 species
AAUAUUGGACAAAGGGGGAAACCCUGAUCCAGCCCUCCCGCGUGUAUGAUGAAGGCCUUCGGGUUGUAAAGUACUUUUGGCAGAUAAGACAAGGUAUCUCCUAAUACGAGAUACUGCUGACGGUAUCUGCAGAUUAAGCACCGGCUACCUACGUCCCAGCAGCCGCGUUACUACGUAGGGUGCAAGCGUUAAUCGGAAUUACUAGGCGUAAAGCGUGUGUAGGCGGUUCGGAAAGAAAGAUGUGAAAUCCCAGGGCUCAACCUUGGAACUGCAUUUUUAACUGCCGAGCUAGAGUAUGUCAGAGGGGGGUAGAAUUCCACGUGUAGCAGUGAAAUGCGUAGAUAUGUGGAGGAAUACCGAUGGCGAAGGCAGCCCCCUGGGAUAAUACUGACGCUCAGACACGAAAGCGUGGGGAGCAAACA